CCUACGGGAGACAGCAGUAGGGAAUAUUGCUCAAUGGGCGAAACCCUGAAGCAGCAACGCCGCGUGGAGGAUGAAGGUGUUAGGAUUGUAAACUCCUUUUGUUAGAGAAGAUUAUGACGGUAUCUAACGAUUAAGCACCGGCUAACUCCGUGCCAGCAGCCGCGGUAAGACGGAGGAUGCGAGGGUUAUCCGGAUUUAUUGGGUUUAAAGGGUGCGUAGGCGGAAGGUUAAGUCAGCGGUAAAAGGGCGGUGCUCAACACCGGCCUGCCGUUGAAACUGGUCGUCUUGAGUGAGCGAGAGGUAUGCGGAAUGCGUGGUGUAGCGGUGAAAUGCAUAGAUAUCACGCAGAACUCCGAUUGCGAAGGCAGCAUACCGGCGCUGAACUGACGCUGAGGCACGAAAGCGUGGGGAUCGAACAGGAUUAGAUACCCCUGUAGUC
rnacentral:rRNA from 1 species